GAGUGAACCGGGGAAAAGCUCAAAUUUUAAAUCUUGCUAGGUUUUACUUAUCAGAAUUGUAAUUUGAAGAAGCGUUUUCGCGUCUUGGUUGGCCCAAAUCCUUUGGGAUAAGGUAUCAUGGAGGGUGAGAAUCCCGUUCGGUUGACCUUAUGACGCUCUACGAUACGCUCUCUAAGAGUCGAGUUGUUUGGGAUUGCAGCUCAAAAUGGGAGGUAAAUUUCUCCUAAGGCUAAAUAUCGGCGAGAGACCGAUAGCGAACAAGUACCGUGAGGGAAAGAUGAAAAGAGCUUUGAAAAGAGAGUAAAAUAGUACGUGAAAUUGUUGAAAGGGAAACGAUUGAAGUCAGUCGUACCAACGGGAAAUCAACCUUUCGAGUGGGGUUUUGGAGUUUUGAAGUGUGUCAAAACCUUUGAGAUUUCAAAAUGUUCGCUUUUUUGGUGUACUUUCUCGUAGGUAGGUUAUCAUCGAUUUUGAUCAUCAUAAAAGGAUUGGAGGAAUGUAGCUUCGAUCUCGUAUUGAAGUGUUAUAGCCUUUGGUAAAUGUGAUGAUUAGGAUCGAGGAUUGCAACGAAUACCCUUUUGGGCUAUCCGCCUGAUCUCUGAUACGUGGCCUUGGUAUUGAAAGCGUGCUUAUGAUAUUAAGGUAUUACGGUCAAAAGGUUAGAACGGAUUACAUUCGUUA
rnacentral:rRNA from 1 species